AGCAGUCGCCGCGGGAAUACGUAGGGUGCGAGCGUUAAUCGGAAUUACUGGGCGUAAAGCGUGCGCAGGCGGUUCGUUAAGACAGAUGUGAAAUCCCCGGGCUUAACCUGGGAACUGCAUUUGUGACUGGCGAGCUAGAGUAUGGCAGAGGGGGGUAGAAUUCCACGUGUAGCAGUGAAAUGCGUAGAGAUGUGGAGGAAUACCGAUGGCGAAGGCAGCCCCCUGGGCCAAUACUGACGCUCAUGCACGAAAGCGUGGGGAGCAAACAGGAUUAGAUACCCCCGUAGUCCCUGUCUCUUAUAU
rnacentral:rRNA from 1 species